CCUUACGGCCACCGUAGGCUACGUCAAACUUGUAAACGUUGUAAGAAUCCAGGUCCAACUGCAGCAACAACAUGGCCUUUACUUUAUACUCUCUCAUCCAAGCAGCGAUCUUGUGUGUGAAUGCAGUCGCCGUGUUACACGAAGAGAGGUUUCUUAGUAAAAUUGGCUGGGGGGUGGACCAAAGCGUCGGAGGGUUUGGGGAUGAACCAGGUGUCAAGGUGCAGGUGAUGACCCUCAUUCGAUCCGUAAGAACAGUGAUGAGAGUGCCGUUGAUAGCAGUGAAUUCGGUUUGCAUUGUGCUACUGCUGCUGUUCGGGUAAGGAUGACUUCUUUGUGGCAUCAGGAACCCGUCUCCACAUUACGAACAGACCCACUCGCCGUUGCCAGAACCCGCGAUCAGCAGCAUGUCCCGACAGCAAGCCACGACAUGGAGCACCGCCCGAAUCAUGCCUUGGUUUUAAUGCAGCGCAACGCUUAUGAAUGCCAUUUUGUGUUCAAUAUCGCUUCUGUUGUAAUGUCAAUGCGGCCACGGACUACUGACAAAUAAUGCAGCAUCACUUCAAUUAGUUGUACUUUUUGUAGCUGUUUGUUUGAUCAAUGCAAUGUUUUUACAAUUAAACUUUUUGAAAUUCACAUGCGCAUUCUGGUUGUCGCUUACCGCACUCCGUACUUCCUGUGUGAAUUAUGUUGUGAUAUGAUGACCUGUGGUUUUGAUUUCUGGAAGUAUACAAGCGUCCCUAGGUGUAGGCAUAUCGGGGUCAUAAGUCAUGGAGAUGGAUAAGCAUAGUAUUGCGUUGUGCGUAUAUACAGUAGACUACGUCACCAUGGCCCAUAUGUGGCUGCGAUCGGACAUUGAUUUUUAAACUCAAUCCCUUCAGCACAGCAUCACGAUGGGAAAUACACAGAGUUUCGUGGUCGCCUCUUUCUCUUUGAGUGCAAUUUAUGUAUUUUAUGCUCAUGUGUAUCGCUCUCAUAAAGCCCUGAAAUCAACCGUUGUAAACUACGAGGACCGUCUGCCAGGACUCGGAUACCUUUUUGCACGAUAUUUGCUCAAAGCUCUUUUAGUAACUCGGGGGUCUAUAAUAAACAAGAAGCAAACCGACCUCUCAUACACGCUUAUUAACUGCAGGCUUGAAAACCAACUGUUGAGGAAGUUCUGUGCUGCAGCAGGUUACGGUUGGGACUACCCAGACAGCGAAUACAGAGACGUUCCUCUGUGUUUCCCAGAGGUCCUCUGUCUCAGGCUGCUGUUGAUGGUGCUGACCUCAUCCCACUUCGCCUUGAACCCAGCAGGUCUGGUGCGUGUGCGGCAGACCCUGAGAACUCUGCAGCCCAUUGAUGAGUUGACUAAGGGCCGGUUCACACUGCACGCCCGGGUCCUGGAGUACCGGACGGUCAGAAGCGGAGCAGAGGUGGACGUCUUUAUGUCAGCCACGUCCCGCUGCGGUCAGCUGGUGUGGGAGAGCACCCUGACGCUGCUCUCCAGGGAAAAGUUUUACAAGACGCUCCAAAGUCUGCCCACAGAUCAUAAAAAAGAUUUGCCUGAUGUAGCCCUUUUGAAGAGAGUAGCAAUGAGGGUCCCAUGGAGUACUGGGCUUUGCUUCGCUUGGUCCUUCUCUGACUACUCCCCUAGUCCCCUCCUGUCCCUCCCGGCAAGGCUUCUUGGCUGCAGGGACAGGAGCUCCCCCAGCUUGUGGAUGCUGUCUGUCUGCCUGGCGGAGAUGGAGAAGCACAAAGGGGUAGAUGCUAUAAGACCUCCCAUCAACCUUACUGUUCAAUUCCUGGAGCCUCUCUUGGUCCCAGGCCAGGUGAUCAUCACGUUCUGGGAAACAGUGACCAAAGAUGGGGGGAGAGGGCUCCGUUUUCAAAUGGAGCAACAUGCCAACUCUGUGACUUAUGUGGAUGGAUUAAUCUGUAGGACCUGAAUCAAAUUUGUGGGUAUUCAUCUUGCCUUAAUGGAAG